rnacentral:lncRNA from 1 species
UUUAUGUAUAAAGAGCUGUCAUUAAAGCAACACGUAUGUUUCACCCUCCCUACAGUGUGUUGUGUCUGUGUGUCGGUGUGACUGUGGGAGCCGAGGGAGCAGAGGUGUCGGUGACACAGGGAGAGGAAUGGAGAGAGAGACGAUAGAUACGGAGGGAGCGAGAUGGCUGUCAGUAUCGGUUCUGUUUGCUCCAAGCCAAGUCAGAGUGAAAACCCUGUUAUGCUAGAGAGAGAGGGAAGGAAACGUUCAAGAUUCUGGAUGAGGGACAGAGCGGAUGGAGAAGGGGAAAGGCUGGAUACAAAGGGAGAGAGAGGUAAAUCCACCCCAAAUGAUACAUUUAUUCAAUUCAAGAUUUCACAAAGCUUGAAGAAAGGGGGUGUCUCAUAAUAGAAUCACUUCAUCAGGAACUCAAGUGCUUGAACGCAGGAUCCAUCUGUUCGGUGUAUCGUCUGAUUUCCCCCUCCCAGCACCCUCCUCUUUCUCUUUUUCCUCCCUCACCUCCCAUUAAAACCACGUAAGCCUGAUUUAUCAAGAUUGGCUCUCAGGUAUGUGUGUGUGUGUGUGUUUGUGUGUGUGUGUGUGUGUGUGUGUGUGUGUGUGUGUGUGUGUGUGGUGUGUGUGUGUGUGUUGUGUGUGUGUGUGUGUGUGUGUGUGUGUGUGUGUGUGUGUGUGUGUGUGUGUUUCUUAACAGAACUGAGGGAACGUAUAACUGUGUUUCAUUACCGCUGUAAGAGACGUUAAGAUAAUCAUUCAAAUCGCUCAGAGUCGUACCCCACCCGGCUGCUAAUUCAAUCUGCCCACAGCAAAACAUGCCACUUUUUUUUUUCAACCUAUUUUUAUAGGCUUAUUUGAACAUUAAUUCAUCUCACCUGUUAUGUUUGUUUAUUUGACUUAAAAUGAAUUGUAACUGAAUGCAUGGAGAUGGAAGUACCUGUGUUCCUGAAAGUUUAUGUUCAAAAUGGUAAGUAAACCAAAACACCCUUAAACAAGUUAAUCUUUUGGUAUUUUUUAGCAUUAUUUAUUUAAUCUGUGUGUGUGUGUGUGUGUGUGUGUGUGUGUGUGUGUGUGUGUGUGUGUGUGUGUGUGUGUGUGUGUCGUUUUAGUUAUAUUAUUAUUAUUAUCGUGUGUGUGUGUGUGUGUGUGUGUGUGUGUGUGUGUGUGUGUGUGUGUGUGUGUGUGUGUGUGUGUGUGUUACACUAUCUGACCCUCAAGCACGCAGCACAUGCUGCAGGUUUCCAUCUCUAUUUGAUCCUGGGCACAUGGCCAGCUCUCUCCUAGGUCCACAGCUAAAAACAAACAAACCUCAGUGUACCAUACACAGCUACAAGCAGCCGCCACCACAACCUGUUCGCCUUCCCCACCAGGUAGUCUAGUGUGCUCCAGCCCUGUCAAAACGUCCCGCUUUUAAUGGCCAUCCAACACUCUAAUUCAGGCAGUCUUCUGACUCCUAAUUCUCAUUCUUUUUCUCUCUCGCUUUCCCACCCUCUUGUGUGUCAGAGUGACAAAGGCCUUUGAACGAGGUUCUUAAAUGUGAAACACUCUGUCAUACAAAGCCAGUGAGGACGAGGCGGUGUAAUGCAGGGACGGCCGUAACGAGCGGAACGAGGGUGACAAUUAAGACCAAACAAAAAUAAAAAUAGCGUCACUGCUGCCAUGGUAUUAAAAACAGUGACAUUUACAGACCUGUAUUUAAUUACCAGCUCACGCUGUUCGCCAGGUACCCCAUUACACCAUGUGAUAAAUCUUUCAUAGCUGGAAGUGUAUGUGUAUGUGUGUGUUGGGUCGGGUGGUGUUCUACAAAGAUGAAUGUAUAUAGGCAUUGAUCAGCAAAAUAAAUAUAUGUACAUAGGAAGAAAGAAAGACAAAUAUUUGGGUAAGGAGCAGGGAGCCCCUUGAAAGGUGCAUGAAUGCUGAGUGUGUGUAAGAGCGUUUGUUUUUGCAUGGUGGUGGUGCCUAUUGAGGGACUGUAGCUGGCGGCUAUUCGCUGUCAGUAGACUUUCUGUAGAUGCUGCUUUCCAGCACUGUAGUUCUGUUUUCAAUGGAAGUGGAGUCGAUCUCGCCUCCACUAUUUUUUUGUGUCCAGAGCCAAAAGCAUGGAGAACAUUUUAAGCGUGUUCAUGGGCUAUCAUCACCCAUAUGCUUGUGGUCUUGAUGGCACGAGCAUGUCAACAUUUUAAGUACGUGUUCAUGGCUAUCAUCAC